UAAACCGUGGCUCAGUUCAGAUCGUAGGCUGCAACUCGCCUACGUGAAGGCGGAAUCGCUAGUAAUCGCAGGUCAGCAUACUGCGGUGAAUACGUUCCCGGGCCUUGUACACACCGCCCGUCACACCAUGGAAGUUGGCCACGCCCGAAGCCGUUACUCCAACCCUUGUGGAGGAGGACGUCGAAGGUGGGGCUGAUGACUGGGGUGAAGUCGUAACAAGGUAUCCGUACCGGAAGGUGCGGAUGGAUCACCUCCUAACA
rnacentral:rRNA from 1 species